GGGGGGGGGAGGUAGGGAUCAUCUUUUCAUGCCUCAACAAUGGAGUUCUGCUGGCUGAGCUCAUAGCAGCAUCUGCAGUGGAAACAGUUAAUAUUUGUGUUUAAAAAAAAAAAACAACACAUGAACAUGAGACUAAGGUAGAACGUUUAAAAAUAACUGUUCUUGAUGUUGCUACAGAGACCUUUAUUAUAGCCAUAGUACGUGAUGUGCAUUGAUUACGUUCCACAUAAGUAGCAUUUUCUUGCUCAGACUAGUAGGAACUGACAGUACUCCCACUUGUAUGAGACAGUAUGAAGAAGCAUGCAGGCUGUGGCAGAAAGGAGGUGUGCUUGGCUUUUCAACUCUUAAAAACUAAAAUCAAUACAGGCACAGGAAGUCGGUUGUAAAACCCUGUUACCAGGGAGGAACGGAAACAAGACGCUAUCUCAGAGCUACAGUUCCUAAGAGGAGGAUCUUGUUUCAUGACAUAAUAAAAGCCAGGGUCUGGUGAGAUAGCAACAGAAUCCCUAAUUAAGAGACAGGAUACUCUAAGCUUGAACAUGAGCCUCUUGAAAACCAGACCAGACAGCUGUAGUGCUCUCUCGAUGGUAGAACCCUCAGGACAGUUGAAAGGAAGGGAUGUACCACAGCAAUCUGUCAUCAGUGCAACUUCCAGCAAUCUUUGUAGCUAACAGAUCACAGUGGAUUUUCUUUCUCCUCAUGAAUUUACCUAAUCACUUUCUAAAUCCUGUUUCAUGCAGUACUGUGAGAAUGAUAAUCUAAUUUUGGUCUCUAAGACAUGAAAUACAAAAACAAUAGGAGGCCCAGGAAAGAAUGAAGCCAUUUUGCCAACAGAUAUUACAAAAACAUGCAACAAUUAUAGCACAUUGACGAAGAAAAUUACUAAAACCGCUAAUUACAAAAUAACCCAGCAUUUCCUGCUGUGAAAAUGAAUUUGUUAUUUAGACCACUUCACUGUUUUUGAUAAAUCACCACCUGUAAUUGCUUUUCUAAGCUCGUGAUAGGGGUAUUUCUCUAUUUGGUGCCAUGAUGUCAAAUUGAAAGAGUACCUUUUCGACUGGUCGCAUUGUCUAGGGUUAAAUAGAAAACCUUUCCAAACUCUUCUUCACUCCAAGAUUUUUGUAUCAGUCAUGGAUGAGAAGAAAAAAGACAAAUGUCACCACUCUUUGCCUAGCUGUGAGAAAUUCACUGCCUGUGAAGUUAUGCUACUUGUUCUCUGCUACAAUACUAACUUUCAUGUAUUUUGCAAUCCCUGUCUAUCUCUGUUGUAAUUUCUUGCAAAGUGUUGAAAAUGUAAAGCUCUACACUCACAAUUGCCCCACAAUCUGAUUUACAAACUAAAAGAAUAUACCUGGGCUUUUCUGAGUAUUUUUCUUGCUUACAUAUAGGUGAGAUAUUCCCUUUAACAAAUAAUCCUCAUAUUAAAAAAAAAACAAGAACCAACCACGCAUACCAGGUCUAACUUAUGCAUGUGCAGCAUCCUAUUUAAUAAUUUACAGCUGUGCAAAGAACAAGCAGGUGAGUGUAUUCCAUACAGCUGCACAAAGCUCUGCGUAACCAGAGCGGAAACGGAAUGACUGCACGCACCUUUCUAUUUAUCCAGACCUCUAGAAAACGCAAACAGCAAAUUCUAAAGUGAAGCCAAAGCCAUGCAUGCCUCGAGGCCCUUUCCAGAUGGUAUGAAGACGAGCCCUUUUCCCUCCCUUUUACAUGACGUGAUUUUGCUUCCUCUCGGAUCAUCUCAGCCCUACUUACCGUUACACAACGUUUUUUGCACCCACGUUAACGUUAUUUGCUGCUAAUUCUGAUAUUCUGUCGUCAUCAGUGAAAAUGCUGAAACCCUCCCAGUUCUUGUUCAUGACGUGUCUCCGAGAUUACACAGCCCUCGAUAAAAAUGUCCCUGGGAAAGGAUAAAAGCGAUUACUGAGCUCAGUGCUUCAGACCCUUAAGCUGCCACCAGGUGCAUCAAAUGUGCCAGUUUUUCUCUUCUGCUUGCUUAACAGAGGAAAAAGCUCAAAUGAACGUUUAUCUGAUGUUCCUCCUGACCCCAAACUAAAGCUGUUAUUGCCUCUCUGAAUAUAUUAUUCCAUUCCUGUAAAGCCAUUUAGUUGCAAAUUCAACAUUUUCUUAUUGCAUAUGCCCACAUUAGCCAUGGUAAAGGCCUGUAACAGGGCAGAUGCAGUUCUGUCCCAAUGACCUCUCUGGUAUUUCUAUAGAAAUGCUCUGUUAAACACCCAGGCAUUUCAACUUCCAGUCACAAGACCUAUAAAAAAUUCAUACACCGAAUCUCUGGUUUCAAACCACAGCUCUGCAUCAUUAAGAGCUUUUCAAUCCUCCCACCCCACAGACGUUAUGAAGAAGGGGGGAGGGCGGCUCUACCUUCCCAGUGCUUAACCCUCACAUCUUCUGCUCCUCCUGCCUGCAAUUUUAACCAGCUCUGGGUGGAGGCUGGCAAACACGUGUGAGCUGCAGAGCACACAACCAGGCUGAUAUCCCAUCACCCCCAACAGAGCUUAAGAACGUGUUCGCAUUUUGAGAUCUGCCCCAAACUUCUCAGCGGGAAGCAGCAAAGGGGCUUCUAAGGAACCCCGGCACCUCCGUGCAUCUCUUGCUCUUUCCAGAGGGCUUUCACUCAG
ensembl:lncRNA